rnacentral:rRNA from 1 species
GACGAACGCUGGCGGCGUGCUUAACACAUGCAAGUCGAACGGAAAGGCCCCUUUGGGGGUACUCGAGUGGCGAACGGGUGAGUAACACGUGAGUAACCUGCCCUUGACUUCGGGAUAACUUCAGGAAACUGGGGCUAAUACCGGAUAGGAAUCCUUGCUGCAUGGUGGGGGUUGGAAAGCUUCGGCGGUUUUGGAUGGACUCGCGGCUUAUCAGCUUGUUGGUGGGGUAGUGGCUUACCAAGGCUUUGACGGGUAGCCGGCCUGAGAGGGCGACCGGCCACAUUGGGACUGAGAUACGGCCCAGACUCCUACGGGAGGCAGCAGUGGGGAAUAUUGCACAAUGGGCGGAAGCCUGAUGCAGCAACGCCGCGUGAGGGAUGACGGCCUUCGGGUUGUAAACCGCUUUCAGCAGGGGCGAAGCUUGUGGUGACGGUACCUGCAGAAGAAGCACCGGCUAACUACGUG